GGAAGUAAAAAUCGUAACAAGGUUUCCGUAGGUGUACCUGCGGAAGGAUCAUUAUUGUAUAACCGAGGUGCGAGAGCUGUCGCUGACCCGAAAGGUCGUGCACGCCCGAGUGCCCUCACACACAUCCAUCUCACCCCUAUGUGCACCACCGCGUGGGUCCCCCUUUGGCUUGUUCGGAGGGGGGCUUACGUUUUCACACAAACUUUGUAUGCAGUGUAGAAUGUAUUUUUUGUUUUUGCGAUCACGCAAUCAAUACAACUUUCAACAACGGAUCUCUUGGCUCUC
rnacentral:misc_RNA from 1 species